ensembl:miRNA
UUGUGUGAUGUUGCAGCUAGACUAUUUUUGCAGCUGCAUGUGAGCAGAGGAUGAGGUUGCAGCAUGGUGGGAGG